rnacentral:rRNA from 1 species
UACGGAGGGUGCAAGCGUUAUCCGGAUUUACUGGGUUUAAAGGGUGCGCAGGCGGAUAUGUAAGUCAGUGGUGAAAUCUUCCCGCUUAACGGGAAAACUGCCGUUGAUACUAUAUAUCUUGAAUGCUGUGGAGGUAAGCAGAAUAUGUCAUGUAGCGGUGAAAUGCUUAGAGAUGACAUAGAAUACCUAUUGCGAAGGCAGCUUGCUACACUGUUAUUGACACUGAGGCACGAAAGCGUGGGGAUCAAACAGG